ACUCAAAGGAAUUGACGGGGACCCGCACAAGCGGUGGAGCGUGUGGUUUAAUUCGACACUAAGCGAAGAACCUUACCAGGACUUGACAUCCCGGUCGUAUUCUCUGGAAACAGAGAAGUCAGCCUGCUGGACCGGUGACAGGUGCUGCAUGGUCGUCGUCAGCUCGUGUCGUGAGAUGUUGGGUUAAGUCCCGCAACGAGCGCAACCCUUGUCGUAUGUUGUAUUUUUCAUGCGAGACUGCCUCGGUCAACGAGGAGGAAGGUGGGGAUGACGUCAGAUCAGCAUGGCCCUUAUGUCCUGGGCGACACACGCGCUACAAUGGCCGGUACAAUGGGUUGCAAAACCGCAAGGUUGAGCUAAUCUCAUCAAAACCGGUCUCAGUUCGGAUUGGAGUCUGCAACUCGACUCCAUGAAGCCGGAAUCGCUAGUAAACGCGGAUCAGCCACGCUGCGUUGAAUACGUUCUCGGGUCUUGCACACACCGCCCGU
rnacentral:rRNA from 1 species